GGAUGCUUGCUAUAGCCAUCUAUUUCAUCUUUAAUUGCAUUGCAUUUUAGUUGAUAUGAUUCUUUUUCACCUGUGCUUACAAGCUCUGAUUCAGAAUUUUUCUCUAUAAUUCUUUAUGAAACCUUUUAUCUAAGCUGCAAGUCAUUCAUUUGUUGCACCAACCUUUUGUGUACUUCAUUCUUCUUGAGAACUUCUAAUUUUUCUGGAACAAUGGCAGGGUUUUGAUGUGAAACUAAUCAAUGUAAAUCAGACUUGCAAAGUUACAAAGGAGGACAAGUGGUCAAGUACACUGCCAUGUUAGCUUGUGGCAACUAUCAUGGAGUUGUGGGCUUUAUAAAAGGAAAAUGCCCAACAAUUCCCAUUGCCCUCCAGAAGCAGGUAUUCAUGAGCUUACUUCUUUAGAUGGUCUGAAUCCCCUCGUUGUUGAUACCGUGCUUUGGCAACAGAUGCA